AUUGAACGCUGGCGGCAGGCCUAACACAUGCAAGUCGAACGGUAACAGGAAGAAGCUUGCUUCUUUGCUGACGAGUGGCGGACGGGUGAGUAAUGUCUGGGAAACUGCCUGAUGGAGGGGGAUAACUACUGGAAACGGUAGCUAAUACCGCAUAAUGUCGCAAGACCAAAGAGGGGGACCUUCGGGCCGCUUGCCAUCGGAUGUGCCCAGAUGGGAUUAGCUAGUAGGGGGGGUAACGGCUCACCUAGGCGACGAUCCCUAGCUGGUCUGAGAGGAUGACCAGCCACACUGGAACUGGGACACGGUCCAGACUCCUCCGGGAGGCAGCAGUGGGGAAUAUUGCACAGUGGGCGCAAGCCUGAUGCAGCUAUGCCGCGUGUAUGAAGAAGGCCUUCGGGUUGUAAAGUACUUUCAGCGGUGAGGAAGGGAGUAAAGUUAAUACCUUUGCUCAUUGACGUUACCCGCAGAAGAAGCACCGGCUAACUCCGUG
rnacentral:rRNA from 1 species